rnacentral:rRNA from 1 species
GGUCAAGGAUGGACUCGCGGCCUAUCAGGUAGUUGGUGAGGUAACGGCUCACCAAGCCUACGACGGGUAGCCGGCCUGAGAGGGUGACCGGCCACACUGGGACUGAGACACGGCCCAGACUCCUACGGGAGGCAGCAGUGGGGAAUAUUGCACAAUGGGCGCAAGCCUGAUGCAGCAACGCCGCGUGAGGGAUGACGGCCUUCGGGUUGUAAACCUCUUUUAGUAGGGAAGAAGCGAAAGUGACGGUACCUGCAGAAAAAGCACCGGCUAACUACGUGCCAGCAGCCGCGGUAAUACGUAGGGUGCGAGCGUUGUCCGGAAUUAUUGGGCGUAAAGAGCUCGUAGGCGGUCUGUCGCGUCUGCUGUGAAAACCCGAGGCUCAACCUCGGGCCUGCAGUGGGUACGGGCAGACUAGAGUGCGGUAGGGGAGAAUGGAAUUCCUGGUGUAGCGGUGGAAUGCGCAGAUAUCAGGAGGAACACCGAUGGCGAAGGCAGUUCUCUGGGCCGUAACUGACGCUGAGGAGCGAAAGCGUGGGGAGCGAACAGGAUUAGAUACCCUGGUAGUCCACGCCGUAAACGUUGGGCGCUAGAUGUGGGGACCAUUCCACGGUUUCCGUGUCGCAGC